UGAAUGAACAUCAUUGAGUGCAGCGUUGAUGUAACUUCGUUUUUUCUUUUGUUUGCUCCAUCUAUUAUGGAAAUGGAUUAAAGCAAUUUACACCAGCGUUGCGCUCAAUCAUGUUUUUC
rnacentral:pre_miRNA from 1 species